rnacentral:lncRNA from 1 species
AUGUCCUUUCGAAAGCCACCUCCUCCCACAAACUCCCCUGAUCCCCCUAAAUCAGCCUUAUCAACCGGCUGCUCUCACAUAACUCUGUUCUAUCUUCCUCAGAGCAUCGGGACCCUCAUCACGUUAUUCGUUCAUUCAUUUACUCUCUCUGUCCUCUAUGACCCUUUGUUCACAGGCGUUACUCUAAAAUGUACCCAGGACUCUGGUUUCACUCAGCGAAGGGGAGGUCAACAGGUCAGCAGGCCACCACAGCUGAAGGGUCAUUCUGCGACCUGGAAAUAGGAAUUAACUCUUGGUCCUUUAUUACCUCCAUACCCUCAGCCUGGGAGGAGAGGCAAGAGCCAGGAUGCACAUUGGGGUUCCAACUGACAGUGGAGUUUUGAGUGAGAAACUACUUCUGGAGGAUAAGGAGGUGUCGGAAGCACAAAACAAACAAGCUCUCUAUAUUCCCAACUUUACAUCAUUCCCUGGUAGAGACAAACUUAAUAAAAUAAGCCAAAAUAAAAUAAUUUUCUAAUAG